UGAAGGAAGUGAUUCUCGAGAAAGAAGCUAGUCUAUCAGAGGCAAAAGUGAUGAGUUUCCCUUGCUUAAGUUAUUUAACACUUCAGGGGCUCGAUAACCUGAUUAGUUUUGGUUCAGGAAGUUGUUCAUAUUAUUUUUCCUCCUUAAAAGAUCUAAGAAUUGUGGGGUGCUAUAACUUUGGAACGUUCAUCCCGAGUCCCACAAGUGUCAAGAGGCAGCGAGGCAAGAUGGCCGAAGAAAAUGAUGAAUCGCCACAACCGCUAUUCAAUGAGAUGGUUUGUUCUACUCUUUAUUGUGAUCAUUCGUAUUAUGGCUUUAUCAUUUAUAAUAAGAAUGUAAUAAAUUUGUUCUACUUAUCCUCCUUUUUCACGUUAUCCUCAUGUAGGUUACAUUUCCUAUUAUAACAAGUCUCAAAAUUGAGGGCCUUUGGUGCAAAGAGUUAUGGAACAAUCAAAUUCCCACAGAUUCCUUUCAGAAGUUGGAAUCUCUUGAAUUGAAUAACUGUGACUAUCUCCAACAUAUUGCCACUUCGUAUAUGUGGAAGAAGCUACAACGCUGUCUCGAGAAACUAGAAGUGAUUUCAUGCCGUUUGAUCGAGAUCAUAUACGAAGGUAUUGGGAUGGAUGUAGAGAGUGGUAGAUUGAGGAGGCUGGUUUUGCGUGAUCUUGAAAACUUGAGGGGCAUUUGGCAGUUCGACAGUCUCCCAAACAUCCCAUUCCCAAAUUUGAGAGACAUAGAGGUUGUGAGGUGCCCUCGUUUGGAAAUGCUUUUCCCUACCUUCACAGCGAAAUUUCUCGGGCAAAUCGAAAAGCUGGUGGUGGAGUCAUGUGAAGAUAUGAAACAAAUUGCUAGCUAUGAAAAAUGGGAAGAAGGGACCUGCACCACAAUCACCUUCUCUAAGUUAACUACUCUUAGAGUCUUCAAGUUGCCGAAAUUCAGGAGCUUCUUACCUGAGAAAUACUCUCUGAAAUUGCCGUGCUCCAAGGACUUCCCAUCCUUGCAAGUCUUGAGUAUAGAAAGUUGUGGAGCAAAGCCGGACCAAGUCCUUGGUAAUUGGGGAUUCCACGAAAUGGAACCAAAUUCACAUGCAUUUAUAGAACUCCAGGUAUUCCUUUAAUAUUUCAUUUCUUUGGUUUGGCUCUCUGUUCCUUUGAAUAGAAAAUCAAUUUAUAUUAGCUAAAACACAAUUCUUAGUGGGACCCACACAUACUUUGGUCCUCUCUCUCUCUCUGUGUCUCUCUCUCUCUCUGGGUGCGUUUGGCAACUUGCCAAAUAGUAACAAUUUCUAUUCUCGUGUUCCUGGAAGUAGAUUUGGAACGGAAAUUGAUUUAGUAAAAUUUUUAUUACCGAAAACAAAUUUCUAUUUUUUGUUCCCAAAAAUAUAUUUUUAACAAAAUUAAGAAAUAAAAAAAAGAUGUUUCUUUGUUCCAGAGAACAAUUUUAGAAUCAAGCCAACUCAUUUUUUUCUCUUUACUCUUCUUUCUUCUUGUUCUUAUUACCUCUCUUCUCUUCUUCAGUUGCACCAUCCAUUGUCCCUGAACACCAGCGAUCUCACCAGGCCAAGGCAAGGUCCGACGAGCUCGAGAUGUUUGAAGCGUGCAACCCGAGUCCGAGAAGUGUCAAGAGGCAACUAGGCAAGAUGGCCGAAGAAAAUGAUGAAUCGCCACAACCGCUGUUCAUUGAGAUGGUUCGUUUUAUUCUUUACUUCUAUUCUUUACUGUGAUCAUUCGUAUUCUUGCAUUAUCAUGUUUUAUAAUGAAGAAUGUAAUGAAUUUGUCCUACUUAUCCUCUGCUCUCACCUUAUCCUUGUGCAAGUCACAUUUCCCAAUAUAAGAUAUCUAAAAAUUGAGGACGUUCAAUGCAAAGAGCUAUGGAAUAAUCAUGCUCCUGCCGAUUACAUCGUUUGUUCCCACCAAUUCCUUUUAUUUGAGGUUAAAAAUUGUCCAUCUUUGAAAUCGUUGUUUGAUUUUGGGUCUCUAGAUUCAAAUACCGAACAAAAGGCGGUAUUGCUCCCUGAAUUGGUAAGCAUCGACGUGGAAAGCCGUCCCUCCUUGGAAUCGUUGUUUAAUUAUGGGUCCCUUGAUUCAAAUACGGAACACAAAGUUAUAUUGCUUCCCAGAUUGGAGAGAGUGAGGGCGAGUGGAGCAAAAAAGCUGAGACACGUGGUCAUGAACCGCUCCUAAAUAGUUUUGGGUUUUCAUAGUCUUGAAAUUUUCAGUGUUGAGGAUUGCUCUAACUUGAGAUAUCUCUUCCCUAAUUAUACGACCACAACUUUGGAGAAACUUCAAAGGCUAACAAUUAGUAAAUGCGAACAGAUGAAGGAAGUGAAUCUCGAGAAAGAAGCUGGUCCAUCAGAGGCAAAAGUGAUGAGUUUCCCUUGCUUAAGUUACUUAGCACUUCAGGGGCUUGAUAACCUGAUUAGUUUCAGUUCAGGAAGUGUAAAGAGGUAGUCAAGCGAGACAGCCGAAGAAAAUGAUGAAUCGCCACAACCGCUGUUCAAUGAGAUGGUUCGUUCUACUCUUUACUGUGAUCAUUCGUAUUCUUAUAUUAUCAUAUUUUAUAAUAAAGAAUGUAAUAAAUUUCUCCAACUUAUCCUCCUUUGUCAUAAUAUCCUUGUGCAGGUCACAUUUCCCAAUAUGAGAAAUUUAGAAAUUGAAGGCGUUCCAUGCAAAGUGUUAUGGAACAAUCAUGUUCCCACCGAUUCCAUUGUUUGUUCCUACUGAUUCCAUUCAAAAACUGUCGAGGUUAAAAAUUGUCCAUCCUUGAAAUCGUUGUUUGAUUUUGGGUCCCUAGAUUCACAUAUGAAACAAAAGGCAGUAUUGCUCCCUGAAUUGGUAAGCAUCGACGGUGGAAAGCUGUCCCUCGGAAUCGUUGUUUAAUUUUGUGUCCUUUGAUUCAAAUGGGGAACAAAAAAUUAUAUUGCUCCCAAAAUUGGAGAAAGUGAGGGUGAGUGGAGCAAAAAAGCUAAGACACGUUGUCAUGAGCCACUCCCAAAUAGUUUUGGGUUUUGCUAGUCUUGACACUGUCAGGGUGGAGAAUUGCUCUAACUUGGGAUAUCCCUUCCCUAGUUAUAUGGCCACAACUUUGGAGAAACUUUAGUGGCUAACGAUUAGAAAAUGCGAACAGCUGAAGGAAGUGAUUCUCAAGAAAGAAGCUAGUCCAUUAGAGGCAAAAGUGAUGGGUUUCCCUUUCUUAAGUAACUUAACACUUCAGGGUCUCGAUAACCUGAUUAGUUUCUGUUCAAGAAGUGUCAAGAGACAGCUAGGGGAGACAGCCGAAGAAAAUGAUGAAUCGCAAUAACCGCUGUUCAAUGAGAUGGUUUGUUCUAUUUUUUACUGUGAUCAUUCGUAUUCUCACAUUAUCAUGUUUUAUAAUGACGAAAGUAAUAAAUUUGUCCAACUUGACCUCCUUUCUCACAUUAUCCUUGUGCAGGCCACAUUUCCCAAUAUGAGAGACUUAGAAAUUGAAGGCGUUCCUUGCAAAGUGCUAUGGAACAAUCAUGUUCCCACCGAUACCUUUCGAAAAAUGUUGAGGAUAAAAAUUGUCCAUCCUUGAUAUUGUUUUUCGAUUUUGGGUUGUGGCAUCCUAGAAUUUCAUGACAACCUCUAGAUGUGCUAUGAACCAUGGAUAGGUGAUGGAAGUACCAUCAAGUUAUGUUGUAGCCAUUUGAUCCAUAAUUUGCAAUAAGAUUAAGGCCAAGCUUUUCAAUGGAUAAUUAUUUGAUAGGAAAGAAAUUCUAUUCUUGGCCAUGUGUUUUAUAAGUUGAAAUUUAUUUAUUUAUGAUGCAAAGUUUUAUGGCCAAUUGAAUAAGUGUAAUUAUGUAUUUAUAUAAGUGGGGAUUUAGAAUAGAUUAUUAAAAGAGGAAGUGGGCCAAAAUUCUUAGGCCAAGACCAGCCCACAAGAGCCCCACCGUUCGGCCAUUAGGGCCUGGCCCGCGAAGCCCAAAAGGGAAGGGGCUGCUGUCGUCCGAAGGAGGGAGAGGCCCGGCCCAAGGGAGGCCCAUCAACCUGCAUGUAAAUCCCCAAGUGGCAAGAGAAGCUUGCCAAUUGUUAGUCCAUUGUAGCCAAGUGGCAAUUACCUUGCAAAAUCAAAUGAUUGCUAAUGAUGAGGGGGAAGGAAAAGAGGAGAGGCGGAUUGGGAGAGAGGGUUACCGUCCGAGAGAGAGAGAGAGAGAGAGAGAGAGAGAGAGAGAGAGAGCUGUUGUGCGAGAGAAGAAGAGAGGAAGAGAGAAAGGAAGAGGGAGGCCGUUCGCUGCCGUGCGUGCCAUCGAGUCCCGCCGUCAAGCCACCUCGCCCCACCAUUUGCUUGCUAUGUUUUGCUUGGAUUAGAGGCAAGUAGAGUCCAUUGAUCUACCCUUUGCUUGCUAUGUUUUGUGUGUGAUGAAUGAUGAAUUUCGGAUGUGGAUGAAGUGUGAAAUUUCGAAGUUAUUGGAGUUGUGUUCUAGCCUGGUAUUCUGUUUCUAGAAAAAUAGUCCGACCUUUGGUGAUUUCGUGAGUUUCAUGCAAUGUUCUAGUUGGAAUCUGACUUUGAAUUCUUGAUGAAAGUUGUGGAGGACUUCUUGGAGAAUAACAUUACAAAAUUUGAAAGGAAACAGACAAGUAUAGGUUGAUGAAACCAUUUUUCUUUGAUGAAGCUAGAUCAGGAAACUGUUAUGAUGCUCUAUUGGGAUUCUGUGAAUUUCGUACAAGUAUCCAGUCCGAAUUUGAUAUCAUGUUCUUGAUGAGAGUUGUAGACGACAUAUUGAGGAGCAACAUCCUAAAAUUUGAGGAUAAACAAACAAGUAAUGAUUGGGGAAAAUGAUUUUCUUUGAAAAGGAUGAAUCUGGACAGUGAACCGAGAGAUAGAAAGAGUUACAAAAAUUAUAACUUUUAAUAAAGAAGGAAUUAAACUUUAAUUUUUUCAUGAGACUUUUACCUUUAGAUCUCAGCUAUGACAUAUUAAAAUUUCAGAAUUUUUGGAGUUCAUCUAAGGGCUUAAUCGAAAUUAUUUCCGAAACUGUGCAAAAGUGGUGCUGGAAUUUCUUCUGCUGUGAUGUGUGGAUCUAUGUGAUUGAUGUGGAACUUUCUUGACACGGUGUUCUUCAUGAAAUAUCUUCCUCUGGAUCUUGUUUACAUCAUGUUAAAUUUUUAGAAUUUAUUGAGAUUUUUUACUAAUUUUCCAAGAAUUCUUACUAAAGAGGUGCAUUCUGUUUUAUCCGAAAAUUGGUUCGAGUUUCAAAAACCAAUGAAUUUCUUUAUGAAAUGUGAUAUCAUGGGUGGUUAUGUGUACUGCAUAUAUGGUGAUGUUUGGCAUAUCAUAUGAUAUCAAAAAGCUGGUUUAGACCUUUGAUAUUGUGGCAUCAAAUGCCAUGAUGAAAAUGAGACAUAUAUGUGAUUAUAUAUUGUCAUAAUAAUGAUAUUGUCGGAGGUGUGAGCCGACGAUGCCUCGGGAGUUUCGAGAUGCCUGGAGGUUUGUGCCGGAGGUCCUCGGGAGUUUCGGGAUGCCCGGAGGUUUGUGCCGAAAGCCCUGGAGGUUUGCACCGGGGGGAUUCCUCGUGAUGUUAGUUGGGAUGCGAGAUACCCGGAGGUUUGUGCCGGAGGCUCCUUGCGACGCCAGGUUGGGUGCAAGCGAUAAAUUGAGGGAUGCAAACAUUGGUCCCUGGAAGAAAAAUGAAGAGAUCCUUGUGAAAGAUAAAUAUUAAAAUUGAAUCAUGUGCAUGGGUAUAUGCAUAUGGCAUGAUGCAUGAUCUGCUUAUGAAAGUGAAUUGAUGCUAUUUGACAUUGAGAAUGCGAUCAUGAAAGCUUGAAUGGAUCUCAUGAGGAUGUAUACAUGAUGGCAUGGAUGAUAUGAAUCAUGCGUAUGAAUGUGCAUAUAGCAUGUGAUGAACCUCAUGGAAAUACAAGUAUGAUUGCGUGGUGGUAUAUGCAUGAUGGCAUGGUGAGAUAUGCAUGACUGCAUGGUGAUAUAUGCACGACCGCAUGGUGAUGUAUGCUCGAUAGCAUGAAUGAUAUGCGCUUUACUUGUGAUGUCUUGAUUGUCUUGCUUGUUGCAUUGUGUAGUUUUAUGGAUCUUUACUGCUAAGUGGUUGUACUCACCCCUUUGGGGACUAACAUUUCAGAUUGAGUGAUGCCUCUAGCACCUGUCACGUGUGGUACGUUUUAUGGAUUACCGUUUGAUGUAGAGGUCGAGUGCUCGGAGCACCCCUGCGUCGAUGUUCAUGGUUUGGUGUUUAUCAGCGUCCGUGUUUUAGUCAUGUACAAUGCGGGUUUACCUGAUGGCCUCGUAGUACAAGAGUUUCUGUCUGUCCAUGUUCGCCGAGAUGGUAGGAUGAUAGGGAUGCUGCUGCCGCCACCGGCCGAUGCACCGGGUUGGGUGUGAUAGGAGCAUGUGACUGGUGGAGGUUCACACUUUUUGGGAUGGCCCACACUAGCUGAUGGAUAGAUAUACACGUUUGAUGUAUAGUCGGGUUCUUUUUGGGUUUAGCCGAGCUUACUUAAAGUCUUGGCCCUUUUGUUAUGCCGACUUGUAAAAUCCAUCUUAGUAUGUAAAUAAAAGUGAUUUUGCCGCAAAAUGCAUAUAUAUAUGAAGGGUUGUAGUGGUGUGUAUUGCAUUGUAUCAUUUAGUUUGUGUACGAGUUUGGGAGGUGAUAAGUAUGCUUCCGUUAUAUGAACUGCGCUGGGACCGAUCUAAAAGAUGUAAACCCCCAGGAUUGAUAGACCUAAAGGUCAACCAAGAGAAUGGUAAAAGAAAUCUAUGGCAACCCUAGCGGAUCGGGGGCCGUGUCAAGGGGCGCUACAUGGGUCCCUAGAUUUAAAUACGGAACAAAACGCUGUAUUGCUCCUUGAAUUGGUAAGCAUCGAUGUGGAAAGCUAUCCCUCCUUGGAAUCAUUAUUUAAUUGUAGGUCCCUUGAUUUAAAUGUGGAACGCAAAAUUAUAUUACUCCCCAAAUUGGAGACAGUGAGGGUGAGGGGAGCAAAAAAGCUGAGACACAUGGUCAUGAGCCACUCCCAAAUAGUUUUGGAUUUUCCUAGUCUUGAAACUAUCUUGGUUGAGAAUUGUUUUGACUUGGGAUAUCUCCUCCCUAAUUUUACGGCCACAACUUUGGAGAAACUUGAGUUUCUAACAAUUAGUAAAUACAAACAGAUGAAGGAAGUGAUUCUCGAGAAUGAAGCUGGUCCAUCAGAGGCAAAAGUGAUGAAUUUCCCUUACUUAAGUAACUUAACACUUUAGGGCUCGAUAACCUGAUUAGUUUCAGUUCAGGAAGUGUCAAGAGGCAGCUAGGUGAGACAGCCAAGGAAAAUGAUAAAUCGCCACAACCGCUGUUCAGUGAGAUGGUUUGUUCUAUUCUUUAUUGUGAUCAUUCGUAUUCUCACAUUAUCAUGUUUUAUAAUGAAGAAUGUAAUAAAUUUGUCCAACUUAUCCUCCUUUCUC
rnacentral:lncRNA from 1 species